AUGGAUCUGAAAAAUGAAUUGUGGUAUGAAGCUGCAGGAAGAGAAUCAAGGGAACUCAGAGAAGUUUUUUUUUCCUGUAAUUUUUCUUUGGAAUCGUGUUUUGAAGAGAGAGAAAGAUUAAGAGUUUUACUGUCUCUGUGUCUUCUAAUUUGGUGCAAUGUUUGGAUGUUUAUGACAAGUUUUGGAGUGGAGUGA